AAGCUUGCUUCUCUGACUGUGGAUUCUACGGUGCACUGGAUACACUUUGAGAUGAUGCUGGUAGACAAUACUUUAAAGAAUGCUACAUUGAAGGUUCCAUUGAUUCCACUUUCGAAAAAGGCAGAUCCAUCUACAAGGUUCGGUUUAGUAAGCAGGUCGGUUCAGUUUGUGUUGUUGCUAUCUCUUGCUGCUUUUGUUAUCGGUAACAAUAAUCCCAUAAUGCAUAAAUCAUGCCCGCCUAUGGUGUUAGGCUAUUUUAAUUUCCUCUCAACAUGUGCAUUUUAAUAUGCAUUACAUUUUAGCAUGAAAGUGCCAUGCCAUGUCUAGAUUUUCUACUCAUUUUCUAUGAUGCCAAGAGUACAUUUGAGGAAAGAGAGGAGAUAAGGCAGCGUCGAAGGGAGAAAUAUGCUGAAUGGAAGGAAGAAUGUCGUCAAUUAUUUCCGCUCGUGGGAAGUGGUAGAUUUAUCACAGCACCUGUAGUUACUAACGAUGGUCAACCGAUUCAAGAUCCAAUUGUAUCGAGCGUCUGCUACGCAAAUUAGUAAGCUCUAAUCUAUAUAUGUGAUUUAUUUCAUUAUUAAUCUCUUUUUAAUUCAAAGAAAUGAAUACUAAUGGCACCACUAAUAUGAAUCGAGAGGAUAACAACAUCGGAUGAUGAGAUUGUUCAAACCGAUGCCUUCAACAAAUACUCCAACCUGAUACCGUACGAAUCACAGAGCCAUCUCUGACGACAAAAUAUAAGAAGGUUGAAGGGUGGUGAUACCUUCUUUCUAAAAGGUGAUCAAAAUGAUGAGAAUUCUGUAUCAUUAGUUCUUCGGAUAGCUGAUCAGAAGGGUCAGUAAAUAAACUUUAAGCUCAUUUCUACUCUUCAAUAACUCUUAAAUUUGUCUGUGGAUAUUUAAAUUUUUUGGGAUUUAUAUGCAGGACAAGCAAGAAAUAUCCAUUUCAUCUUCUACCUUGACAGUGACACUGCUGUCUCAGUUUCAAAGGAAAUGGUUGAACAACUUGAACUUACCGAUCAGAACGUAAAAUUUAUAGCUGAGUUAAUCAAUUUGUUAUUGAUGAAAUUGAUUCCUGAAUGGAAACCUUGUGUAGCAAUCAAUCAUUUAGCCUCUGUAAAUGGUAAAUGGACUAAUGCUAGCCAACAGAGAGACACGGAGUUGGCUAAAGCCAAAGGAAGCUCAAAACAUUCCAGUGAAGAUUCAGGUCCCUCAACCUCAUACGGAACAACAGCUGCAAAAGAGAACGUCGACAAUAUGGAUUUAUGUUCUGAGAUGUCAUAUGCUUCUGCA